rnacentral:rRNA from 1 species
GAUGAACGCUGGCGGCGUGCCUAAUACAUGCCAGUCGAGCGAACAGAUAAGGAGCUUGCUCCUUUGACGUUAGCGGCGGACGGGUGAGUAACACGUGGGUAACCUACCUAUAAGACUGGAAUAACUCCGGGAAACCGGGGCUAAUUCCGGAUAACAUUUAGAACCGCAUGGUUCUAAAGUGAAAGAUGGUUUUGCUAUCACUUAUAGAUGGACCCGCGCCGUAUUAGCUAGUUGGUAAGGUAACGGCUUACCAAGGCAACGAUACGUAGCCGACCUGAGAGGGUGAUCGGCCACACUGGAACUGAGACACGGUCCAGACUCCUACGGGAGGCAGCAGUAGGGAAUCUUCCGCAAUGGGCGAAAGCCUGACGGAGCGACGCCGCGUGAGUGAUGAAGGUCUUCGGAUCGUAAAACUCUGUUAUUAGGGAAGAACAAAUGUGUAAGUAACUGUGCACGUCUUGACGGUACCUAAUCAGAAAGCCACGGCUAACUACGUG